UACAGAGGUCUCAAGCGUUGUUCGGAUUCAUUGGGCGUAAAGGGUGUGUAGGUGGCGCCGUAAGUCGGGUGUGAAAUUUCGGAGCUUAACUCCGAAACUGCAUUCGAUACUGCGGUGCUUGAGGACUGGAGAGGAGACUGGAAUUUACGGUGUAGCAGUGAAAUGCGUAGAUAUCGUAAGGAAGACCAGUGGCGAAGGCGGGUCUCUGGACAGUUCCUGACACUGAGACACGAAGGCCAGGGGAGCGAACAGG
rnacentral:rRNA from 1 species